rnacentral:rRNA from 1 species
UCUAGAGUUUGGAUCAUGGCUCAGGACGAACGCUGGCGGCGUGCCUAAUACAUGCAAGUCGAGCGGACAGAAGGGAGCUUGCUCCCGGAUGUUAGCGGCGGACGGGUGAGUAACACGUGGGUAACCUGCCUGUAAGACUGGGAUAACUCCGGGAAACCGGAGCUAAUACCGGAUAGUUCCUUGAACCGCAUGGUUCAAGGAUGAAAGACGGUUUCGGCUGUCACUUACAGAUGGACCCGCGGCGCAUUAGCUAGUUGGUGGGGUAAUGGCUCACCAAGGCGACGAUGCGUAGCCGACCUGAGAGGGUGAUCGGCCACACUGGGACUGAGACACGGCCCAGACUCCUACGGGAGGCAGCAGUAGGGAAUCUUCCGCAAUGGACGAAAGUCUGACGGAGCAACGCCGCGUGAGUGAUGAAGGUUUUCGGAUCGUAAAGCUCUGUUGUUAGGGAAGAACAAGUGCGAGAGUAACUGCUCGCACCUUGACGGUACCUAACCAGAAAGCCACGGCUAACUACGUGCCAGCAGCCGCGGUAAUACGUAGGUGGCAAGCGUUGUCCGGAAUUAUUGGGCGUAAAGGGCUCGCAGGCGGUUUCUUAAGUCUGAUGUGAAAGCCCCCGGCUCAACCGGGGAGGGUCAUUGGAAACUGGGAAACUUGAGUGCAGAAGAGGAGAGUGGAAUUCCACGUGUAGCGGUGAAAUGCGUAGAGAUGUGGAGGAACACCAGUGGCGAAGGCGACUCUCUGGUCUGUAACUGACGCUGAGGAGCGAAAGCGUGGGGAGCGAACAGGAUUAGAUACCCUGGUAGUCCACGCCGUAAACGAUGAGUGCUAAGUGUUAGGGGGUUUCCGCCCCUUAGUGCUGCAGCUAACGCAUUAAGCACUCCGCCUGGGGAGUACGGUCGCAAGACUGAAACUCAAAGGAAUUGACGGGGGCCCGCACAAGCGGUGGAGCAUGUGGUUUAAUUCGAAGCAACGCGAAGAACCUUACCAGGUCUUGACAUCCUCUGACAACCCUAGAGAUAGGGCUUUCCCUUCGGGGACAGAGUGACAGGUGGUGCAUGGUUGUCGUCAGCUCGUGUCGUGAGAUGUUGGGUUAAGUCCCGCAACGAGCGCAACCCUUGAUCUUAGUUGCCAGCAUUCAGUUGGGCACUCUAAGGUGACUGCCGGUGACAAACCGGAGGAAGGUGGGGAUGACGUCAAAUCAUCAUGCCCCUUAUGACCUGGGCUACACACGUGCUACAAUGGACAGAACAAAGGGCUGCAAGACCGCAAGGUUUAGCCAAUCCCAUAAAUCUGUUCUCAGUUCGGAUCGCAGUCUGCAACUCGACUGCGUGAAGCUGGAAUCGCUAGUAAUCGCGGAUCAGCAUGCCGCGGUGGAAUACGUUUUCCCGGGCCUUGUACACACCGCCCCGUCACACCACGAAGAGUUUGCAACACCCGAAAGUCGGUGAGGUAACCUUUAUGGAGCCAGCCGCCGAAGGUGGGGCAGAUGAUUGGGGUGAAGUCGUACAGGGGGUA